UUAACCACUAAUCAUUUAUAAAUGUAAUUUUUUAAAGAGUAUAUGAUAUGCACUAAUUAUAUAUAUUCACUAUAUAAAUAUGACAGAUUUAUUCAUGAAUAUGAAACUAAGUUGUAUGAGUUAUACACUCACUUAUAUAAUUUUUAUAGUUAAUAGAUCUUCCCCUUACUAAGUGAAAGGAGUAUUUGUUUCUCCAUGGGGUGGGAACUCUUUGUACCAUACUGGUACUUUAAUAGAUGGUCUAAUUGAUAUCAACCCAAUUAAUUUACCAGGUCUACCACGUGUUCUAAAUUGGUUAGACAUUAUACCCAUUUGAAUUGCCUUCACUCCUGAGUCUCUGAGUGUCAGGUUCAAGCUGCUGACCGACGAGGUUCCUUAUGCUUGCGAACCAGUUAGAUUCUAUACACAUAUGAAUCUUCCCCAUAUUCGAAUAUCUGAAUGUCAGACUCAAGCUGAUGAUAUAUGAGGUAUGGUCCUCGCUGUAUCAAUCAAGUCCCAUUGAAAUAUUGAAACGUUGUUCAUACAUCUUUGAAUGACCUUUUAUGUGCUGACAAUAUGUUCUGAAAUGAAGAGAUUUUACCCCUGAUGAAGUCUUGGAACAAGACGAAACGCGUUGGGUUAUUUAUCUAUCUAUUAUCUGAUGUUACCUCCGAAUCUACAAUAAGGAGAAGGAGGAAAUCGUAGUGAUAUAUCUACGCUUUUUCCUCAUCACUACAAACUGAUUG